CAGUGGGGAAUAUUGCGCAAUGGACGAAAGUCUGACGCAGCGACGCCUCGUGAGGGACGAAGGUCUUCGGAUUGUAAACCUCUUUCAGCAGGGACGAAGCGAAAGUGACGGUACCUGCAGAAGAAGCACCGGCUAACUAUGUGCCAGCAGCCGCGGUAAUACAUAGGGUGCAAGCGUUGUCCGGAUUUAUUGGGCGUAAAGAGUUCGUAGGCGGUUUUUCGCGUCGGAUGUGAAAACUCAGGGCUCAACCCUGAGCCUGCAUUCGAUACGGGAAGACUCGAGGACGGCAGGGGAGACUGGAACUUCUGGUGUAGCGGUGGAAUGCGCAGAUAUCAGAAAGAACACCAAUGGCGAAGGCAGGUCUCUGGGCCGAUCCUGACGCUGAGGAACGAAAGCGUGGGGAGCAAA
rnacentral:rRNA from 1 species